GUGCCAGCCGCCGCGGUAAUACGUAGGGCGCAAGCGUUGUCCGGAAUUAUUGGGCGUAAAGAGCUCGUAGGUGGCUGGUCGCGUCUGCCGUGAAAGACUCGGGCUUAACUCGGGUUCUGCGGUGGAUACGGGCCGGCUUGAGGUAGGUAGGGGCAAGCGGAAUUCCUGGUGUAGCGGUGAAAUGCGCAGAUAUCAGGAGGAACACCGGUGGCGAAGGCGGCUUGCUGGGCCUUACCUGACGCUGAGGAGCGAAAGCGUGGGGAGCGAACAGGAUUAGAAACCCCUGUAGUCC
rnacentral:rRNA from 1 species